rnacentral:rRNA from 1 species
UACGUAGGGUGCAAGCGUUAAUCGGAAUUACUGGGCGUAAAGCGUGCGCAGGCGGUUUUGUAAGUUUGUCGUGAAAGCCCCGGGCUCAACCUGGGAAUUGCGAUGAAGACUGCAAGGCUUGAAUCUGGCAGAGGGGGGUAGAAUUCCACGUGUAGCAGUGAAAUGCGUAGAGAUGUGGAGGAACACCGAUGGCGAAGGCAGCCCCCUGGGUCAAGAUUGACGCUCAUGCACGAAAGCGUGGGGAGCGAAACAGG